UGGGGAAUUUUACACAAUGGGCGAAAGCCUGAUGUAGCAACGCCGCGUGGAGGAUGACGGAUCUAGGUCUGUAAACUCCUUUUAUAAGGGAAGAAAUUUGACGGUACCUUAUGAAUAAGCACCGGCUAACUCCGUGCCAGCAGCCGCGGUAAUACGGGGGGUGCAAGCGUUACUCGGAAUCACUGGGCGUAAAGGGAGCGUAGGCGUUUUAUUAAGUCUUGAGUGAAAGCUCGCAGCUCAACUGCGGAACUGCUCAGGAAACUGAUAGAAUUGAGUAUGGAAGAGGUAGGUGGAAUUUCCGGUGUAGGGGUAAAAAUCCGUAGAUAUCGGAAGGAAUACCAGAAGCGAAGGCGACCUACUGGGACAUUACUGACGCUGAGGCUCGAAAGCGUGGGGAGCAAAACAGGAUUAGAUACCCUGGUAGUCCACGCCCUAAAACGAUGAACACUAAGUCGUUACGGAGCUAGUCUCUGUAGUGACGCAGCU
rnacentral:rRNA from 1 species